UGGUGGCGACCGGCGCACGGGUACGUAACGCGUAUGCAACCUACCUUUAACAGGGGGAUAACACUGAGAAAUUGGUACUAAUACCCCAUAAUAUCAUAGAAGGCAUCUUUUAUGGUUGAAAAUUCCGAUGGUUAGAGAUGGGCAUGCGUUGUAUUAGCUAGUUGGUGGGGUAACGGCUCACCAAGGCGACGAUACAUAGGGGGACUGAGAGGUUAACCCCCCACACUGGUACUGGGACACGGACCAG
rnacentral:rRNA from 1 species